UACGAAGGGUGCAAACGUUGUUCGGAAUUACUGGGCGUAAAGGGCUCGUAGGCGGCCAACUAAGUCAGAUGUGAAAUCCCCGGGCUUAACCUGGGAACUGCGUUUGUAACUGGCAAGCUAGAGUGUGGCAGAGGGGGGUGGAAUUCCAAGUGUAGCAGUGAAAUGCGUAGAUAUUUGGAGGAACACCAAUGGCGAAGGCAGCCCCCUGGGUUAACACUGACGCUCAUGCACGAAAGCGUGGGGAGCAAACAGG
rnacentral:rRNA from 1 species